CUGACUGCUAUCGGAUGAUACUAAGCCAUGCGAGUCUUUGUAGUAUACAAGGCAUACGGCUCAGUAACACGUAGUCAACCUACCCUAUGGACGAGAAUAAUCUCGGGAAACUGAGCAUAAUUCUUGAUAGAUCAUAAUGCCUGGAAUGGUUUAUGGUUAAAAUGAUUCGUCGCCAUAGGAUGGGACUGCGGCCUAUCAGCUUGUUGGUGAGGUAAUGGCCCACCAAGGCGAUUACAGGUACGGGCUCUGAGAGGAGAAGCCCGGAGAUGGGUACUGAGACACGGACCCAGGCCCUAUGGGGCGCAGCAGGCGAGAAAACUUUGCAAUGUGCGAAAGCACGACAAGGUUAAUCCGAGUGAUUUCUGCUAAAGAAAUCUUUUGCCAGUCGUAAAACCACUGGUGAAUAAGGGGUGGGCAAGUUCUGGUGUCAGCCGCCGCGGUAAAACCAGCACCUCAAGUGGUCAGGAUGAUUAUUGGGCCUAAAGCAUCCGUAGCCGGCUCUGUAAGUUUUCGGUUAAAUCUGUACGCUCAACGUACAGGCUGCUGGGAAUACUGCAGAGCUAGGGAGUGGGAGAGGUAGACGGUACUCGGGAGGAAGUGGUAAAAUGCUUUGAUCUCUCGAUGACCACCUGUGGCGAAGGCGGUCUACCAGAACACGUCCGACGGUGAGGGAUGAAAGCUGGGGGAGCAAACCGGAUUAGAUACCCGGGUAGUCCCAGCUGUAAACUAUGCAAACUCAGUGAUGCGUUGGCUUAUGGCCAGCGCAGUGUUGCAGGGAAGCCGUUAAGUUUGCCGCCUGGGAAGUACGUACGCAAGUAUGAAACUUAAAGGAAUUGGCGGGGGAGCACCACAAGGGUGAAGCCUGCGGUUCA
rnacentral:rRNA from 1 species